CAAUAAGCGGAGGAAAAGAAACUAACAAGGAUUCCCCUAGUAACUGCGAGUGAAGCGGGAAAAGCUCAAAUUUAAAAUCUGGCGGUCUUCUGGCCGUCCGAGUUGUAGUCUGGAGAAGCGUUUUCCGCGUUGGACCGUGUACAAGUUUCCUGGAACGGAGCGUCAUAGAGGGUGAGAAUCCCGUCUUUGACACGGAUCCCAAUGCUUUGUGAUGCGCUCUCAAAGAGUCGAGUUGUUUGGGAAUGCAGCUCAAAAUGGGUGGUGAAUUCCAUCUAAAGCUAAAUAUUGGCGAGAGACCGAUAGCGAACAAGUACCGUGAGGGAAAGAUGAAAAGCACUUUGGAAAGAGAGUUAAACAGUACGUGAAAUUGUUGAAAGGGAAACGCUUGAAGUCAGUCGCGUCGGCCGGGACUCAGCCUUGCAUCCGCUUGGUGUACUUUCCGGUCGACGGGCCAGCAUCAGUUUUGACCGCGAGAUAAAGGCGGAGGGAAUGUGGCUCUCUCGGGAGUGUUAUAGCCCUUUGUCAGAUGUCGCGGUUGGGACUGAGGAACUCAGCACGCCUUUAUGGCCGGGGCUCGCCCACGUACGUGCUUAGGAUGCUGGCGUAAUGGCUUUAAACGACCCGUCUUGAAACACGGACCAAGGAGUCUAACAUGCCUGCGAGUGUUCGGGUGGAAAACCCGUGCGCGCAAUGAAAGUGAAAGUUGGGAUCCCUGUCGUGGGGUGCACCGACGCCCGGCCCAGACCUUUUGUGACGGAGCUGCGGUAGAGCAUGUAUGUUGGGACCCGAAAGAUGGUGAACUAUGCCUGAAUAGGGUGAAGCCAGAGGAAACUCUGGUGGAGGCUCGUAGCGAUUCUGACGUGCAAAUCGAUCGUCAAAUUUGGGUAUAGGGGCGAAAGACUAAUCGAACCAUCUAGUAGCUGGUCUGC
rnacentral:rRNA from 1 species